AACGAACGCUGGCGGCAGGCCUAACACAUGCAAGUCGAGCGAGGACUUCGGUCCUAGCGGCGGACGGGUGAGUAACGCGUGGGAACGUGCCCUUUGCUUCGGAAUAGCCCUGGGAAACUGGGAGUAAUACCGGAUGAGCCCUUUGGGGGAAAGAUUUAUCGGCGAAGGAUCGGCCCGCGUUGGAUUAGGUAGUUGGUGGGGUAAUGGCCUCCCAAGCCGACGAUCCAUAGCUGGUUUGAGAGGAUGAUCAGCCACACUGGGACGGAGAAACGGCCCAGACUCCUCCGGACGGCGGAGGGGGGGAAUCUUAAAAAUGGGGGGAAACCCUAACCUGCCCAUGCCGCGGAGGCGUUGAAGGCCUUAGGGUUGUAAAGCUCUUUCGCCUGGGAAGAUAUUGCCGGACCCAGAAAAAGAAGCCCCGCCUACCUCCUU
rnacentral:rRNA from 1 species